rnacentral:rRNA from 1 species
UACGAGGGGGGCAAGCGUUGUUCGGAAUUAUUGGGCGUAAAGGGUGCGUAGGCGGUCUGAUAAGUCAUCUGUGAAAUCUAUGGGCUCAACCCAUAGUCUGCAGGCGAAACUGUCGGGCUUGAGUAUGGGAGAGGUGAGUGGAAUUUCCGGUGUAGCGGUGAAAUGCGUAGAUAUCGGAAGGAACACCUGUGGCGAAAGCGGCUCACUGGACCACAACUGACGCUGAGGCGCGAAAGCUAGGGGAGCAAACAGG